UAUUUUUCCUACUACAAGAGCCAUACUUUCAUGAUCUGUAAGAGAAGGAGAAUAAAUACCAAAUAACUGACAUCAGUUUUCUGAAAAGGAACAGAAAAGGCUCCCUCAUGCAUGCUAGUUUAAAUCUGGACUAACCAGAGAGAAUACAGUUGGAUUGCAGCUGCCGCAAAACAGGCUGAAAACUGUACUAAGACAUCAACUUCUAAAGACAGAGGAGUGUGCUCGGAAGUACCUGUUUGCGGCCCACGGACCUGGUGGUACAGAUGCCUGAAAGGGCUGCGCGG
rnacentral:lncRNA from 1 species